rnacentral:misc_RNA from 1 species
GAGAGCCCGUUGCGUCGAGAGGCGCACGGCGGGUUCGGCGAGAGGUGCUGGGAAACGGACCGGGAGCAAUCCCGGC